AAGACGCGCAAUUGCAGAUUGAUUUUCCAUUCAAAAACAACGGAAAUGGAGAUCGGAAAGUUUGCGGUCUGAAUCAAGUCAAGUCCAGCAGAUUCGUGUUCCGGCGUUCCGACAGUUUAUUGGAUGAUCGAAGUUCCGACAGUAGGAAUAUUUGCUUGUAACAGCGUUUCAGCUUCUGAAAAGUUCUUUUUCGUUUCGUCAAUCGCAUAUUCUUCCGAUUGGUUGAUGCAAUCGAUCGAUUCUGUUAAUUCUACUUCCUUUUCUGUUACGAAUUUCUUCAUUCUUGGUGUAUUUAGUAUCUUUAUUGAAGUCGAUUAUUGGAUUUUCCCCUUUGAUGAAAAUGAAGCUUCUAGUCCGUGUGCUCGAAGCUAAGAACUUACCGGCCAUGGACCUAAACGGUUUCAGCGAUCCAUAUGUAAGGCUACAAUUGGGGAGGCAGAAAUUCAGGAGUAAAGUGGUGAAGAAGUGUUUGAAUCCUAUUUGGCGCGAGGAAUACACUUUCAAAGUGGAUGAUUUGAAUGAGGAGCUACUUGUAAAUGUUCUGGAUGAAGAUAAGUAUUUCAAUGAUGAUUUUGUUGGGAUGAUCAGAUUGCCAAUCAGUCAGGUUUUGGAAGCCAAAGACAAGUCCCUCGGGACUUCGUGGUACAAGUUGCAGCCUAAAAACAAUAAGUCGAAGACCAAGGAUUGUGGUGAAAUUCUUCUGACUAUUUGUUUGUUGCAAAAUAACAAAUUGUCGGACCUGCAAUUUGCUGGUGAUCCUGUGACAUUGCAAAGAAGGAGCAUUGACACAACGUCGGAUUCAUCUGCAAGGUCGUCUCCUAUGCGAGCAUCUCCUUUGAGGAGGAUGGAAGAUGUCAUAUCUAAGGAUGAAAAGUCAUAUGCAGUGACAUUUACUGGUCGAAUUGCUAGGAUGUUUAACAAGAGUUCGGAUUCAACAUCUGUUAGUUCUGUUGAAGUAUCUGAUGCAUCGGAGUUACCUGAAAGUGUGGAGUCUGUGGUAUUGGAGCAUAAGUCUGAAGAGGAAGAUUCAUCAGCUGGUUUCGAUGAAAUCUUGAAGAAUAUGGAGAUGAGAGAUGAAGGAGCUGAAGUUCCAAGCAGUUUAUCUGGAGGUGUAGUCCUUGACCAAAUUUAUGGGACAACGCCUCGAGAAUUGAAUUCAAUACUAUUUUCACCCGAUUCAACUCUUUUAAAGUCUCUGUUCGAUGCUCAAGGAUCCACAGAUGUACAAAUAGGAGCCUGGAAAAAUGAACACACUAGUGAAGGCAUGAAAAGAGUGAUCUCUUAUACUAAAGCCGCUAGUAAAUUAAUUAAAGCUUUGAAAACAACUGAGGAACAAACCUAUGUGAAAGCAGAUGGUAAAACUUUUGCUGUUUUAUCCAGUGUAAGCACUCCAGAUGCUCCAUAUGGGAAAACAUUUAGGGUAGAAGUUCUUUACUGCAUCACUUUAGGGCCCGAGCAGCCUUCAGGAGAACAAUCAUCCCGUCUUGAAGUUUCUUGGCGAGUUAACUUUUCUCAGAGCACUAUGAUGAAAGGUAUGAUCGAAGGUGGAACAAGGCAAGGUAUUAAGGAAAGCUUUGAUCAGUACCAAAAGUUGCUAGCCGAGAUCGUGAAGCCUCUUGAUCUUAAAGAUGUAGGUUCUGAGAAAGAUCAACUUUUAGCAUCACUUCAAGUGGAACCUCAAUCUGAUUGGAAACUUGGGAUACAGUAUUUUGCUAAUUUUCCAGUCAUUUCUGCAAUUUUCAUGGGAUUAUAUGUGCUUGUGCACUUAUGGAUGUGUAUGCCGAGUACAAUUCAGGGUCUAGAGUUUGUUGGCUUAGACUUGCCUGAUUCAAUUGGUGAAUUGGUAGUUUGUGGAGUAUUGGUUCUGCAAGGGAAACGUGUUCUGGAAUUAAUAUCUCGUUUUAUGCAGGCCAGAGUGCAAAAAGGUACUGAUCAUGGAGUCAAAGCACAGGGGGAUGGAUGGUUGCUCACAGUUGCCUUAAUCGAAGGAAGCAAUUUAGCAGCUGUUGACUCAAGUGGAUUUUCUGACCCUUAUGUGGUUUUCACUUGCAAUGGAAAACCAAGGACCAGUUCUAUCAAAUUUCAGAAAUCUGAUCCUCUUUGGAAUGAAAUAUUUGAAUUUGAUGCCAUGGAUGAGCCUCCAUCAGUGCUGGGAGUGGAAGUAUAUGAUUUUGAUGGUCCUUUUGAUGAGCCUACAUCUCUUGGACGUGCUGAAAUAAAUUUCAUAAAAUCUAAUAUAUCAGAUCUGUCAGAUAUCUGGAUUCCUCUACAAGGAAAGCUGGCCCAAGCUUGCCAAUCGAAGUUACAUCUAAGAAUUUUUUUGAACAAUACUAGGGGGGGCAAUGCUGUCACAGAUUAUUUAACUAAGAUGGAGAAGGAGGUCGGGAAAAAGAUAAGAUUGCGGUCUCCUCAGACGAAUUCAGCAUUCCAGAAGCUUUUUGCACUACCCCCUGAAGAGUUUCUCAUUAAUGAUUUCACUUGUCACUUGAAGCGGAGAAUGAUUCUCCAGGGCCGUCUGUUUCUAUCAGCAAGAAUAAUUGGGUUCCAUGCAGAUUUGUUUGGUCACAAAACAAAGUUUUUCUUUCUCUGGGAAGAUAUCGAAGACAUUCAAAUCACAGCUCCUACUUUGUCAUCAAUGGGUAGUCCAAUCAUUAUUAUAACUCUAAAGGCAGGAAGAGGAUUUGAUGCAAGACAUGGUGCAAAGACGCAGGAUAAAGAAGGCAGGCUGAAGUAUUAUUUUCAUUCGUUUGUGUCUUUCAAUGUGGCACACAGAACAAUUAUGGCACUCUGGAGGGCCCGAGCCUUAACCCCUGAGCAGAAGGUACAAAUUGCCGAUGAGGAAUGCAAAGCACAAAGUGGGCAGGCUGAUGAGCUGAAGAGUCUUCCUGCAGCAGAUGAGGAACUUGAUGCUAAAGUGGCAGAUGAAGAAUCCGAAGCCAAAACCCUUCAGACUGAGGAGAGCGGAUCUUUACUGGAAGUUGGGGAUAUCAAUAUGUCGGCAAUUUACUCUUCUACCCUAUCUCUUCCUACUAGUUUCUUUAUGGAGUUGUUCAGAGGGAGUGACAUUGACCAAAGAGUGAUGGAGAGAGCCGGAUGCCUCGACUAUACUCACAGCCCUUGGGAAUCUGAGAAGCCAGACGUAUACCAGAGGCAAAUUUAUUACAAAUUUGAAAAGCGGGCUUCAUGUUAUGGAGGAGAAGCGACAAUAGCUCAACAGAAAUCCCGACUUUCUGGUCAAAGUGGAUGGCUCAUCGAAGAGGUCAUGACUCUCCACGGGGUUCCACUUGGAGACUAUUUUACACUUCACUUAAGAUAUCAGGUUGAAGAUUUGCCAUCAAGAUCUGUAGGUUGCACUGUUCAAGUACACUUUGGCAUUGCAUGGAUGAAAUACACGAGGCGUCAAAAGAGGAUGACAAAAAACAUAGUUUCAAAUAUGCAGAAGCGCCUAAAAGUCAUGUUCAGCUUAUUGGAGAAAGAAUAUGUUUCAAAGGCAUAGGCAUGCCUUUGUUGUUUCAUUAGAUUGACCAGAUAGAAUAAACGUCCCGAGUAUUUCUCAACCAUGACAAGCAUGAACUACAUGUGCAGCUCAGAGACCUGUGAUUCGAUGCUAACAUCGUCCUUGCUUACUCUGUGAGGCUCUGAUCAAGAUGUUGGGACUAACUGUAUAUAUCUAUGCGAAGUUAACUGCACCGAAUCUAUUGGGAGACAUUUAGGGCUACAGCAAAACGGGGACCAGUUUUGUGAGAUGGCUGCUGCACUGUCAUACAACAGCUGUAUACUCGCUGCUACAUGAACUUCUCUCGAAUGACCUAUCUGUCCUCCAGGUUAGUCUCAUAAAGGUUGGUGGGCAGUUCCAGAAUCCUGCCGACUGUGGAAGAAAAGAUUUGUUCGUAGCAUUCAAGAAAUCCGCGACUAAUCUAAAGGCCAUUCCACUGUCUCCAUCCAAAAUCCCACCAAUAACCCGAGCAGCUGCCUCGUGGGAAUUCAAUUGGCCGUACCUAAUGUAAGUCACUCGAUUGUAGCUUGUGUUAUGAUCAACCAUGUUGCCGUAAGUACUUUCACUCUCCUGAGCACCGCCAGCCUGCAUAAUUUCCGAUCCCAUUCCAAUCUUGCUUUCAAACUUGUUGAAUUCAUCGAAACAUUCAGUGAACUGUUCUGAUGCAUUGUAAGAUGUGCAGCUAUCUGUGUUGUCUCCCCCAUCGCAGAUAUACAUGUCCACUAGCUCUUCAAGCUUCAUGGCUUCAGAUGACCUCGACUGCGAUACUAUCCUCUCCUGGAAUUUGUAGAAAUCUUGCGCUACUUUUUCCAGGUGAUCGUCGCUGACUUGUGCUGUAUCCUGUGAUUUGCAGGCGUACGUUUCAUUUCCUCCGCUGUAGAUGUACAGAUCCACAAGCUCUUCGAGUUUCAUGGCACUGCUCGCCCUCGACUGCAAGAGUUGGCCCCGGAAUUCAUUGAAGUCUUGCACAACUUCUUCCAGUUGAUCAUCAAUGGCUUCAAGUUGUAAGUUAUCUGCAUCAGUAUCCAUUUUCUCCAUGCCUUGCAUUGCAAUCACACCAUUAUUAUGCAUCAAAAGAAAUCAUCAACCCUUUUCUGUACUGUACCUAAAAUUAGAGUAAAAAUACCUUCAAAAAAUAUCACAUUAUAUUU